GAGAAUCUCGAAUUGUAAUUGAUUAAGAAUCAAGAACUCGUUGAAUUCAUCAUGCUUAAUUACAGUUUGAUCUUUUGUGUAAUCUUCGGAUUCAUCGCUUUAGUUUAUUCACAAGAAAUUGUUAUUCAUGAUCCAGUAUGUAUAGUUAAGGCUCACGCAAAAUGUGAUAAAAGACCACCUGACCCGGUUUUUAACGCCUGUAUGGUAUGCCAUCUAUAAUUGAAGUAGUAUUUUCAAGUUUCAUAUAUGCUACCGAAUUUAAAUGUAUAUUAUUAUUUUCAGUCCAAAUACUAUUCAGACCACAAAUGUCAAUGAGCAAAAAUGAUUAAAUUAUUAUCACUGAAAUUAAAAAAAAAAAAUUAUUGAUUUUAA